CGCUGAUUACCUGCUGACCGUAGAGCAAAAUGUUAUAUAGUGCAAGGUCCAUUGCUUGCCUAGGAACUGCUUGGGGAUUCAUCCUAUCGUCUCCCCCGUCCUCUGCACUCCACUGCUAACAACCCAAGGUCCAUCUUCUCCCGUCUCUUCCCUUCAUUGCAUGCAGGGACUUGGUUCAGUUAUCAUUUGAUAAAUUAAUUAGUUGUUCAUGAGAUUGUGACCUGAAUGAUUGACCUUGUACUUGAGAAAUUGAUGACAGAUAUUAUCAUCUAAAUGAAUAUGUAUUGGCCUGAUGUGAGUUCGAGAUGCCCAGCAUAAUGCUACUGGCCAGAACCUCAGAAGUUCGCUUGCUUCGAAACUCUUUUUGUGAUUAGAGCUAUUCUUGCUUCGGUCCUAGAAACAUGUGUUGUUGAUUCAGUUGAUUCAGACUUCCUAUUUCCUUGUGGAUGCAGGGAGGGUUUGUGAUCAGGAGUAGCAGGAUUUAGGCCUUUUCAGGUGAGUUUAUGCCAUCUUCCUUAACUUGCUUGUGUUUUGACUUGUGCCGUUGAGGUUAGCUUUCUUUCUCUAGGUUUGUAGGCUUAGCUGAGAAGUGGAAAGAAGACUUCCUAUUCAAGCAAUGCAUCUUCCUUGGAUGGUAUUAGUGAGAUUGCAGAUACAAAAUAUUAAUGAGUCAAGGUCACCAAAGAUGAUAGCUUUAGGUUUCUGUUUUUUUGGGAAUGUACCUGGACUUGGUUGUCUUUGGUAGAUUUAGAUAUGAAAAAGUGGUUUAAAUGCACAUGUUGAGAAAAGAAAUGAUUUGUGAUUUCAAAUAUUAAUUUUCUGCACCUUUCGUUUAUUCUCAGCUUUCGUAAUGAGACCAUGAAAGUUCUUAUACUUUGCCUUAGUUAACUUUGAAUAUGCUUCUUGAAGACCAGAUCCUGUACUGAUUCAGAUAGCAAAAAUAAAAAUAAAAAUUACUGAUUCAGAGGACUGUCGACAAAUCUCCAAAUCUUUCAUAAUGAGAAAUAUAGGUCAGCCUCGCUAUAAGCCUCAGGUAGGCCUUGUUGUCAGCCGCCAGCAAAUCUCGGCAUCGGCUCCUGUCACUCCAUGGAGGACACCAAAGGACGACAUAUAGCCAGCUUUUGUGUGCCCUUCGUCUCCGACAAGAGGAGUCCGAUGCAUGGGAUUUGGAGUCUGCAUCGACCUCCGCUUGCAAACUGUGUAGAUGAUGAUUAGCUUUUUGUUUCAGUUUGUAUUAUAUUAAAAGUUACCAGCUAAGUUGUUUGGUAGCUAUGCAUACUUGUUGGUGCAUGUAGAUUUAAGGUGCUCAGACGUGCUCUAAUAUCGAUGCUCCAAAUGCCGGACAGGCACUAAUGAUAGGAUAAUUUGGUGCUCGGAUGUAACCAUGUUUAUCGGAUAUACUGUGAUGUUAAUGAUUGACAUGUUGGACAGACACCUAAUGGAUAUGAUAGCCUGGUGCUCGGAUGUGUUGUAAUAUUCAUUAUUCAGAUU